rnacentral:rRNA from 1 species
UGGGGAAUAUUGGGCAAUGGGCGCAAGCCUGACCCAGCGACGCCGCGUGGGUGAUGAAGGCCUUCGGGUUGUAAAGCCCUGUCAUGUGGAAAGAACAGUCCCGUGGUGAAUAUCCACGGGAUUUGACGGUACCACAGGAGGAAGCACCGGCUAACUCCGUGCCAGCAGCCGCGGUAAUACGGAGGGUGCAAGCGUUGUUCGGAAUUAUUGGGCGUAAAGGGCAUCUAGGCGGGAUGUUAAGUCAGGUGUGAAAGCCAAGGGCUCAACCCUUGAACUGCAUUUGAUACUGACAUUCUUGAGUUCGGAAGAGGAAGGCGGAAUUCCCGGUGUAGCGGUGAAAUGCGUAGAUAUCGGGAAGAACACCGGUGGCGAAGGCGGCCUUCUGGUCUAGAACUGACGCUGACAUGCGAAAGUGUGGGGAUCAAACG